AUGCAGAUACAAAGGUACACACACUGACUACUUAUAGAUACACCGACACACACACUGACAGACAGACACACAGAUACACUGACACACAUGCAGAUAUACAGAUACAAACACUGACACAUACAGAUACACACACAAAUACAAAUGGACAACAUACAGAUACAGAGACACAUUCUGACAGACGUACUGACACAGACAACCAUACUGAAACACACAUACACACAGACAUUGACAGACAUAUUGACAAACACAGACAUACAGAACCACACUGACAGACUCACACAUUGACAUACUGACAGACAUACACACAUUCUGGCACACACACACACACAG